UACAGAGGGUGCGAGCGUUAAUCGGAAUUACUGGGCGUAAAGGGUGCGUAGGUGGUUAAUUAAGUUAGAUGUGAAAUCCCCGGGCUUAACCUGGGAAUUGCAUUUAAUACUGGUUAGCUAGAGUUUGGUAGAGGGAAGUGGAAUUUCCGGUGUAGCGGUGAAAUGCGUAGAUAUCGGAAGGAACAUCAGUGGCGAAGGCGACUUCCUGGACCAUCACUGACACUGAGGCACGAAAGCGUGGGGAGCGAACAGG
rnacentral:rRNA from 1 species